rnacentral:lncRNA from 1 species
UCAGUUCUUCACACAAACAAACCAGUACCAGAUCCCCCCCUCCUUUCCGUCAUCUUCAAUUCUUUAUCUUUUCCUCUGAUUGACGAGACUGCAUUAAAUCAAUGGAAAAAGAUUACACAAACAAGAUAUUUAGAGAUCAAUCAGGCUUAAAGUUAAAACAGGGGCGGAAAAAUAUCUUAUUAAUUAAGCAGUUUGCUGGUUGGAAAGUGGUCUGGUCUCUGUUAUCAGCUUGCCUACCAAAGAUUCUGUUAAAUCUAUUAUAAUUUGACCUACAUCUGAAGCAGCAGCACUUCCCUUCCUUUCCACGUUAUCAGAACAAAACUAGGAAUGUAGACGACGCAGACGUGUCAUUGUUGGACAGCUGGAUGGGUUGAGAUGAGGCCACGUUUCUUUGACAACACGUGGCAGUUCCAAUAAUCGUUGCUUCUUGCUGUAUGAUAUAGUGCGCCAAGCAUCUAAUUGGCAUCAAAACUGCAUUUAGCUACAUGAGAAUACAACAUUACUAGAGUCUGUUCCUAGUCUCCAUGUUCUAC